GUGCUGUGAUGCUGCCAGCCACUGCCCUCCCUGCUGCACAAGUGUGCCUCUGCAGUCCUUCCUUCUCCACCCCUCACCAGCCCCAGACAUGAGGCCGGGGACACAGAGGGGUGAGACAUGCAGGCUGUUUGCCUCUAAGGAGCUUUUGUGCCUCAUUCGCCUGCUGCAGGGGUCUGGAGGAUCAGCACAAGUCUUGAAAUGCUUCAUAAGAAUUUCCACACUGAAAGGGAGCAGUGGAAGCUUCUAA
rnacentral:lncRNA from 14 species